ensembl:lncRNA
UUUUUUUUUUUCUUUUUGCAAAGUCCAAUUGCAUAUGGAACUAAAAGAAUUAUAUGGCAGCAGAAACAUGUCAUAUUGCUAGAGAUCAUCUCUGACCAAUUUCUUUUAACUCAUCCCUGGCUCUCUGUACCUGCACAGUCUCAUGCAAAAGUAUAGAAUCAAUCACACUGCCAGAAAAGUAAUAAAGAUGGUUUCCUUUAGCAGAUCAUGCCUUUCAGUGAGAACGUCAGCCAUCUCAUUCACAUCUGUGAACAAACCAGUCUCCUUGCUCCUAUCUCUGAAAUGUCAUUUGCUGUUUUGAUCUAGCUGACAACAUAUUACCUGAUUUUUUUUAUAUUUUCAGAAGAAACUUUGGAUGUUGUACACUAUAGAUAACAUUCUGAAACAAUCAGGCAAAUCAUCAUUUCAAGAAAGCUGAAUGAGACUUUGGCAUAGGUAAAGAAUUCAGAAUUGGGUUUUACAAAGGAAGUUAAUAGCAGUUCUCAUUAGAUGAUCCAACAUUGCUGUGGCUCCCAUUUAAAACAAUAUCAACAGAAAUAGGACAGAUCUGAAACCUCUGCCUUCACCCUCCCCCAAAAAAAUUACUGUAGGCCAUCAAAAAAUUUAUUUCAUCCAUACGAUGCUAGGAAUCCUCCCCACAGAUAGUCCAUCACCAAAGCAGUCCCUGUGGACCUGCAGCAGUUCCUAGUUAGAAAAAUCCCCACAUCUUCCAGUGCCUUUUAUUACUCUAUUAGCUAAACUAGCUGAAUAACCUAAUGGUUAAAAAUACGCUUCUCUAUGUAGUACUCUCCACAAAGGCCUGCAAAAUUCCAAAGAAUGAAUCUUCGUGAUAUUUGCUUCCUUUUCCAGGUUUUGGUGGGAGUCAUUUGGUCUUUCUGAAUAAGGCCUAAAGCAGGUAUGAACUAAAAUUUUACAGAGGAAGGAAUGCAUACUACUAAAGGUAAUUGAGGUUGAUUUAAAGAAGGACAAAAAAAAACAUUAUGGACUAUCUUGAUACACUUAUGAAAGCUUAUGCUUAUGAAAGCAUUUUUUAGUACUAAAAGAGUAAAAAAUCCCUUUACUGCUGAUACUGCAUUAUAAAUAUUAAUUCACAAAUCAGAAUGAUAGCAAAAUGUGCAUAUUUCAGGAUAGGGUGUUACUGGUUCUUAAAACCACCUUUCAGAAGAAAGCAUAAUUAUGUUUCAACAUGUUCCCAUGCUUCAGAACUCAGUAAUGUUCUACAGACUUAUUUAGAUCUUUUAAAAACACAGCUUCUUGACAUUUAUAAUUGCUUUGUUGCAAAAGCAGUUUUAUAACAAUUGUCAAUUCCAUACUGACAGUUUGCUGUUCAUAUGCAGUUCUGGUCCUUUAGCAUACCAAGAUCAAAGCUGACAUGGCUGAUAUGAAAAAAAAAAAGUUUUUCUGAAACCAAGAAAAGAUUUCUGUGAAACAAAGAAAAGUGCAAUGAACAUCAGCAGAGGGCAAGUAAUAUUAUUUUUAUAAUUCACUUUUAUGUUUUGUAUCAAGAUAUGCUGAUUUUCUGAUUCAAAUUGCACAUCUGUUUAUGCAGUGUGAAUUUCUGUAGGUGCUUUUUAGGUGGUGAAAUUAAAACUUCCUGUAGUGUGUCCAUUGUAUUGUAGGUACUGAUUUCAUUAGCUUUUUGUUCAAAAAGCCUCCUGUGCAAAGUUUUGUUUCUGGUGUAAAUUACAUACUCAAGAGAUCUCUCCUUAAUACUUGCAAAACCAGAGAGAUUUCUUGAACAUAUUUAUGAUGGUUAGUUGGGGGCUUUCUGCCCAUGCCACUGCAGGAGCCAGAAGAGAGCUGCUCUGCCAGGUAAGGACUGGGAGAAUAGGAACCCCUGUUCUAGAAUUGGGCCAAAGGGGCAGCAUCUCCUAGGAACAAUACUUCCAGUUAGUGUGGUGGGAUGUGUAAACUCCAAAAGUAACCCAUAUGCUGUAGCCAGUUAAUUAGAUUGAGCUCACACAUGGAAGAAUGCAGGAAAAUACAGAUCUAGGCAAAUAGAGAAGAAAAACAAGGACAAAAUUCAGUUCUUUAAAGCUAAUGGGGUCUCUUUAAACUCUCACACCUUUGGCCUAAUUCUUAGCUACAGGCCCAAGUUUCUUUGUCAGUGGGGCUCCUCACACCAUAAACUCUCCUCAAGAUGUGCUCCUGGCCAUGAGCUUGUUUCACAUGCUUUUGUCCUGUGCAGGUUUGUCCUAUUUGCUACCCACUCAUGUCUACCUGCAUUCAGCAAAGUGUAACUGAAGAUGACACCAGUGUAAUGGGUCUUGUGAAAGCUCUAGCUUUUUCAUUAAUCUGGUCUGGUACAGUCUCCAAAAAGGCCUUAUCUGUCACAACAGGAGACCUUGCUUGUUCCAGAAGUACCUAAUUCUCUGAGCAAGAGGAAAAAAAAAUUAAAAUCUGAAAGACAGUACAAAGAGCAAGCUCUGUUCUCCAUUUCUUCUCCAUUCUUUCUAGUCCUUCUCCUUGCCAUCUGCUGGAGGCCAUUAUGUGCCUUACAUUUACCUGUAGAGAUGUAAGAUGUAAGGUCAAGAUGCACGUUUCAAAUGCAAUGCUGUGUUUUAGCUGCUGCUUCUCAACUGCUUGUCAACUGGAGCUCCUGUCCCCCUCUAGCCAUUCACACUGUGUUGUUAUGCCCCCUAUUAAAAAUAUAAUUUUGAUGGUUAUAUUAAAAAUACUCAGAUUUUCAAUAAAGUCUAACACAUAUUAAAAAAAGCAUCUCAUUGCACAUUUAUUCCUGUCAACAACAGCACUAUCAGAAACCUGUCUUCUUGUUGAAGCAAAAAAAACCACUGUUAAACUUGUUAAACAAAAAAAAAAAUAUUUUUUUUUAGUGUUUUCUGUUCAGUGCUGCAGUAAAGGACAGACAAAUAUAAGAUGAUACUAUAAACUGAACACCACUACAUACCUGUAAUUAGAAAUCCAUUAUUACGUAAGUUACCGGAGAAUUUUAAAUGAAGCUAUGUAAACACUUAAGACUACUAUAAGAAAAAGUCACAAAUAUUGGAAGUAGCAUCUGUAGCAGAUUCUGCAACAGAAGUUUCACUGUUUGUACAUAAAAAUUGAAGUUAUUAUUUGUGGCCUUUUGUUGUUGAGAAAAUACCACUAUUUUGUAUUUUUGAAUGGUUGAUCUUAAAAACUAAGAGGUAGCAACACAGAAGUUCAGCAACACAGAAGUUCACUUCAGCAACACAAAAGUUCACUUCAGCAACACAGUAAAAAUUUGUUUUAAAUAUCCACCUUUCACUGAAGUACAGCCUUUCUAGGUAUGGGUUUUUUUUGUUUCACAGUACAUCUAUAAACUGUAUGAGUACAUCAUCACACAAGUUUCUUCUAUCCAAAUGACAUCCCCAAUGAUAGUUUACCCUUUUACAAAAUAAAUUGCUGUUAUUAAAUCUGC